rnacentral:lncRNA from 1 species
AGGCCACCCACGGCUACCCAUGGACCAAUCAGCACAUACUUUCUCUCCUCUGAGGCCCAUAAAAGCCCUGCGCUCAGCCAGAACUAAGCAGAUAUCUGGAUGACCAGCUGCAGAAAGGAGCUACUCAUUCCAGGGCCUCCUCUCUGCUGAGAGCAGCAGACAUCAGGAUGACCAGCUGCAGAGAGGAGCUACCCACUCCAGGGCCUCCUCUUUGAUGAGAGCUGCAGAGACAGUGGGACAACCUGUCUGCAGAGAAAAGGAAUACAACAUGUUUAAGACCACAGAACAUCUGCAUAGGCUGUAAAUUUCGUUGAAUGAUGGAUGCAAAGAUGGAAGACAGAUGGAUAGAGGAAAAGACAGAAUCAGAUACUGGAUGAGUUAGUACUGCUGCCUGUGCUUCAGAGCUGUCUUAUUACCACAAGGCCGGCAAGCAUCAAUGUCCCCACAUCCCCCUCUGCCUCCCCCUGAAAUGUACCGAUUUAUAUGAAAAUUAAGAUUACAAAUUAAAGCCUGGCUAUCCUGGAGUUUUCCAGUUCAUCAGCCAUCCAAUAAAAAUGAUGUCAAGCCUGUAUGCAUAAUUCCCGGAAGAUUACUUUCGUCCUUACAGCUAAGCCCUGUCCCUGAUAUGAAAGAUCUCUAUCCACUUUUAUUGAAAUAAAGAACUAACAUCAUAAUCCCAAUAUUGAGGUAUAAUCUUCAUUAUCUCCUGACCCUCUUGAGGUUCCCCCAAUCUAUAUUACUUCAGAUUUGGUUUAUGUGUAAUCCUUAUGUAUUUACUUUUAUUGAGAUAGGAUUAAAAACUAAAAAAAAAGCUUCAAAAAA